rnacentral:rRNA from 1 species
AGCAGCCGCGGUAAUUCCAGCUCCAAUAGCGUAUAUUAAAGUUGUUGCAGUUAAAAAGCUCGUAGUUGAAUUUCGGGAUUGACGUGAUGGUCAUGCCUUAAGGGGUAUGAACUGUUACAGUUGAUUUCUCACCUUCUGGAGAAACUUGAUGUCCUUUAUUGGGUGUCUUGCGGAUCCAGGACCUUUACCUUGAAAAAAUUAGAGUGUUUAAAGCAGGCAUUUUUGCUCGAAUACAUUAGCAUGGAAUAAUAGAAUAGGACGGCAUGGUUCUAUUUUGUUGGUUUCUAGGAUCACCGUAAUGAUUAAUAGGGAUAGUUGGGGGCAUUAGUAUUCAAUUGUCAGAGGUGAAAUUCUUGGAUUUAUUGAAGACUAACUACUGCGAAAGCAUUUGCCAAGGAUGUUUUCAUUAAUCAAGAACGAAAGUUAGGGGAUCGAAGACGAUCAGAUACCGUCGUAGUCUUAACCAUAAACUAUGCCGACUAGGAAUCAGACGAUGUUAAUUUUUUAAUGACUCGUUUGGCACCUUACG